rnacentral:rRNA from 1 species
AAAAAAAAAAAUUUUUAAUAGGGGAUAACGUAGGGAAACUUACGCUCAUACCGCAUACGACCUACGUGUGAAAGCAGAGUAUCUUCGUACCUUGCCCGAUUGAAUGAUCCGAUGUCGGAUUAUCUAGUUGGCGGGGUAAAGGCACACCAAGGCGACGAUCCGUAGAUGGUCUGAGAGUAUGAUCAGCCACACUGGAACUGAGACACGGUCCAGACUCCUCCGGGAGGCAGCAGUUGUGAAUAUUGGACUAUGGGCGCAAGCCUGAUCCAGCCAUACCUCUUUUUUUUAGUA